UUCACAAUGUAAGUCAUUCUAGCAUUUCCCACAUUCAUAUAAUUGUUAAAUGAAUCUAGACAUAUAACUAUAUGAAUGUGGGAAAUGCUAGAAUGACUUACAUUGUGAAA
rnacentral:misc_RNA from 1 species